rnacentral:rRNA from 1 species
UGGGGAAUAUUGGGCAAUGGGCGCAAGCCUGACCCAGCAACGCCGCGUGAAGGAAGAAGGCUUUCGGGUUGUAAACUUCUUUUGGCAGGGAAGAGCAGAAGACGGUACCUGUCGAAUAAGCCACGGCUAACUACGUGCCAGCAGCCGCGGUAAUACGUAGGUGGCAAGCGUUGUCCGGAUUUACUGGGUGUAAAGGGCGUGUAGCCGGGCUGACAAGUCAGAUGUGAAAUCCGGGGGCUCAACCCCCGAACUGCAUUUGAAACUGUUGGUCUUGAGUAUCGGAGAGGCAGGCGGAAUUCCUAGUGUAGCGGUGAAAUGCGUAGAUAUUAGGAGGAACACCAGUGGCGAAGGCGGCCUGCUGGACGACAACUGACGGUGAGGCGCGAAAGCGUGGGGAGCAAACAGG